CUCUUCUUGUGUUUAAAUAUGAAGUAUAACCUGCUCAAUGAAUAUUUAAAUGGCCGCGGUAUACUGACCGUGCAAAGGUAGCAUAAUCAUUAGUCUUUUAAUUGUAGGCUGGAAUGAAUGGUUGGACGAGAUAAAAUCUUUCUUAAAUUUAUUUGUUUGAAUUUAAUUAUUGUGUUAAAAAGCUCAAAUUUUUUUUUGGGACGAGAAGACCCUAUAGAGUUUUAUAAUUAAUAAUUAUUUUUAUUGUUUGGUAUAUUUUAAAUUGAAUUAAUUAUUUUGUUGGGGUGAUGUGAAGAUAUAAUUAACUCUUUAUAUUUAUUGUUUAUGAAUUAAUAUUUUUUUGAUCCAUUUUUAGUGAUUAAAAGACUAAAUUACC
rnacentral:rRNA from 1 species